GCACUGCUGAAGAGUCUCACAACAGGACGAAACGGCUGUCCAGUGC
rnacentral:hammerhead_ribozyme from 1 species